UCUUAUCAAGAGUGGUGGAGGGACUGGCCCGAUGAAACCCGGCAACCCCGCAAGAGCGGAGAGGUGCUAAAUCCUACAAGUGUAACAGCGUGCACUUGAGAGAUAAGA
rnacentral:ncRNA from 1 species